rnacentral:tRNA from 1 species
AAGAUUUUAAGUUAAUAAACUGAGGGCUUUCAAGGCCCUUAAUAAAUAUUUGUUGUUUAAGUCUUG